rnacentral:lncRNA from 1 species
CAAGGUACCUUCCUAUACUCAUUUUGCAUCAUAUUGAGCCUUCAAAUUCGAGUUUAAACCAUGGAUUAGGACCAUUACCAUGAGUUUACGGCCCUAGAACAGUCCUAGGCCGUAAACUCAUAUAAAUGGGGUUUUUGGAGCAACAAAACCCUUCCAAACCACAAUUAGACCUUGAAUAUGGCUAGAUGACUUUAUGAAAUGGAAUUAGAAUGCCUCAAACCAUGAUUUAGAGCCUUAUAUAUGAGUUUACGGCCCAGGAUGGUGCUUAGGCCGUAAACCCAUAUUUAAAGGGUUUUUAAGCCCUUAAACCCUUCCAUGGCUCAAACAAGACUUAGAUACGACUUUUAGAAUAUUGGUUAUGGACCUAGAACACUUCAAACAUGAAUUUUGAGGGGUUUGUAUGAGUUUACGGCCAAGGCAUGUGCUUGGGCCGUAAACUCCUCAAACAUGGGUGUAAACUCACUUCUAAGGUGUUAGAAAGCCAUCCAACACCACCAAAAGCCUUGGAAUAAAUCAUAGAACCAACCAAAAAUAGUUUAAGGACCUUAAACACAUCAAAACUCUUCAUUUGAGAGUUUACGGCCAUAGAAGGUGCUCCAUGGCCGUAAACUCCUAAAAGCAUGUCUUAUUGUGCCCAAAAAUCAUUUUAAGGCUUGUAGGAAUUUUUAGAAUCACAUGUGAUUAACUUUGAGACAUUAAAAACACAUAUUCAUGGGAGUAUGAGAGUUUACGGCCAUAAACUCCAUGCUAAGGCCGUAAACUCCCCUAAGUGUUGUAUUUGGUGAUUUUAAUUCAUUCCAAGCCUUAGGUAAAAUUAUUCCAAGCAUUUCCAAGUGAUAAUAGCCAUUUGUGACCCAUUAAGCUCCAUAACCCUUGUUAACAUGAGUUCACGGACGUGAACUCAUGUGUGGGUAGUGUUUAGCCCGUAAAAUCAUUAGGAAGUUUACUCUUGGGGAGUAAACUCAAAUCCCAAGUCCCUCGCUUCAAUUCCCGUCCGUAGAUGUCACCCGGGUCACUCCAAACACCCGUUUUGAGGUGUUUUCGUUCGUUGGAGUGUGACUUCAUAUCUAAUUAGAGUUUAUGAAUUUAAUUAGUUAUAUUUGUAUGCCAUUUUGUAUUACAUAGGAACCUCGCGUGUUAUCAGGUCUCGAUUCGACGUUUAGCAUCCGAAACCGACACAUUUUCGCGUCCGGUGAGUUCAUACCCCUACCCUUUUUCCGUGUUUUCAAUGGUUUUUCAAUGUUUUCAGGGGGGGAAUACAAGCAAAAAGUACAAGUGUAUUUUGUACAUAAACUGAUUUUCAACUCAAUUGUUUUACUUACUAAAUGUCUUGAUUUCCAAAGAUUUGUGGUAACUGACGUUUCGAAUUGCAGGUUAAACAUAGAUUUCUUUUAAAAAGUGUUAUAACUAUAUGCUUUUUGAAUAAGAAAUCAUACUAAUCAUAUUUAAGAUAAACGAAUGUAAUCGAAUACGAAUACGAAUACGAAUAUGAAUACGAAUACGAAUACGAAUACGAAUACGAAUACAAAUACGAAUACGAAUACGAAUACGAAUACGACUACGAAUACGAAUACGACUACGAAUGCGAAUACGACUACGAAUGCGAAAUGACGCCUUUGGUUGACACUAAGACUUCGAAUAUACAGUUAGUGUACUCCUUGAGUGUCACCAGAGUUUCGAAUCUAAUACGAAAAUACGCCUCUGGACCUCUACUGAGUUUCAAAUAUAUCCGCCUCAGAAUGUCGACAGAGCUUCGAAUACACAACUAAUAUACUCUUUUGGAACUCAGCAGAACUUCGAAAAUACUGUAAUGUACGCUUCUGUGUGAUUCCAAAUAUUCGAAAAUACAACUAAGUUAGUAGAUUAUAGUCAUCCGAAUGUAGAAUAACUAAGGGUUUAGAACACAUAAUUAAUACUACUCACAUGGUAAUUACUAGUACUUCGAAAUCAGACUUAAGAACCAAACACCACACAUAGGAAAAUAUGGGAUUUUCCUGGGAUAACAUUACAAUCAGUAACGAACCUAGAUACAAAUAGACAACUCAACACAUAGGAAAAUAUGGGAUUUUCCUGGGUAGCACAACAGCACAUAAACGGAUAAAGUAACAAACGAAUAACUAAAACUAUAAGAAAAAUAUGGGAUUUUCCUGGAACGACAUAACCAACUGUUUUCGAAAUUGUAACAAAGGAUAACCAAACCGUUUUCAUAAGAAAAUAUGGGAUUUUCUUGAUCAACAACUUUUCCAGAAAGUAAAGGAACUCGUUCUUUUCAAAACUAAACCGCUUAUGAACUCACCAGCUUUAUGCUGAUUUUCAAACCGCUUGUAUUCUCAGGUCAGCGUUAGACAGGUACACCGCAACCAUUUGGAGAAGACGGAGCGUCCCGAAGACUCGUCUUUACUUUUGUUCAUAUUAAAUAUGUAAAACACUUGUACAACUUUACUUUCAAACAGAUGUAAACAAUAUUAUGUAAUGUAAUGUUUUGUUAUUACUGCUUUACUAUGUGCAUUGGAUUUGAUACUCAACGUGGAGUCAACCCCGGAAAUGUUUCCGCCUUUGGUUUUCGGGGUGUGACAGAUUGGUAUCAGAGCCCUUGUUUAUAGUGAACUGGUAUACCAAAGCUUACAUGGUAUAAGACUAUAAACAUUAAAGGGCCUAAGUGCUCUGAACUAAAAGUAUACUCUACGAAUAUAAGUAUUUUCUAAAAGUAUACAAGUAUACCGACCGUCGAAAUCCGUAACUACAAGUAGAACAAAACAUAAGUAAAUGGGUGUUGUACGCUGCGGUUAAACCUGGGCAGUUAUGUAGUCGUGUCUAGGAUCAAUAUAGCCUGGCCAACUAUAUUCAUUCGAGACACGGCCAACAUGUGCUUGGGAGUGACUGUGGUACGCAGCAUACCUAAAACUUACCCAAUAUCCCAAACAACGAAUCGUCGCUGCAGUGAACCAUGAAAUACUAUGGGAGUAUUUCUCGAGCCAAUCCUUUGCAGAAAUCCUUGUAUACGCGUUAUUUCUUGAUCAUUCCUUUAGCAAUAAAAUGUUCUAUCUUAACUCCUUUCUGCUUUAUCACUUAGUAUGAUGCUAUAUUUGUCUUGAUGAGAUAUCUCCUGUCUCAUAUCUCUUGAUUCAAUUCAGAGGACUUAUCAUCCUCUCUUCCUUGAUCUUAUUAGAUCAAUAUGCCUCCGAGAAAGAGACCCAGCUCAAAGAACACCAACAAUCCUCCGCUGCCACCACCUCCUCUUCAAAUCGAUCUAGAACCACUUCAGGCAACCAUUUCUGCCACCAUAUCAGCUCUCCUACCUCAACUAAACCCUAAUGGUUCAGGAGGUGUUUCCCAAAACCAAAACCAAGAAGGUAAUUAGGGACACCGGAAGGAGUGUUCCUAUAAAGCCUUCAUGAAUGCGAAACCCACAUUCUUCGAUGGCACAGGGGGUGUCAUUUCUUUAACUCGGUGGUUAGAGAAAAUCGAAUCUAUCUUUGAGAUUUGUGCCUGUUUGGAAUCCGAUAAGGUGAAAUUUGCUGCCUGUACGCUCACCGAUAAGGUUUGACUUGGUGGACCGGCCGAGUCAAAUCCCUGACUUUACCUGUAGCCAAUUCUAUGGGAUGGGAAGUUAUGAAGGAACUACUACGUGCGGAGUAUUGCCCUCGGGGUGAAAUCCAGAAGCUGGAACAUGAGCUAUGGAACCUGAAGAUGAAAGGCUCCGAUAUCGCCUCUUACACUUCCAGGUUCGACGACUUGGCAUUACUCUACCCAGGAAUGGUUACCCCAGAGAGUAAGAAGAUAGAGAGAUUCAUCUGGGGUUUGACCCAGCCAACGAAAGGAAACGUCAUAGCCGUGAGACCGAAUACAUAUGACAGCGCCAAACGCUUAGCACGGAUCUUAAUCGAUCAUAGCGAAGACCUUGAGGAGGCAGCUACCACUCCUGAGGCAACAGUGAGGAGUGGUGAGAAAAGAAAACUUGGGAAGAAAGAGAAAAGUCAGGCAUCGCACGAGUCUUCGAAGAGACAGCAAACGAUGGCAGUUCACGCUGCCACUUCCCCUGCAGUUGUCUCUGUUGUUGGAUCCUCAACCCGAAAACCUGCCAAUUGGUAUGCUGGAACCCUUCCUAGUUGUGACAAGUGCAACUAUCAUCAUCUUCCUUCCAGUCCAUGUAUAGAGAUAAUUUGCAACAAAUGUGGCAUAAAGGGUCACAUGGCGAAAAACUGUAAGACACCAACCCAAUCAACGAGUCAAACUUCCGGAGCGGGCAUUGGUCGGGCCUGCUAUGGUUGUGGAGAAGUUGGACAUCUUAAGCGAAACUGUCCCAAGGCUGUAACACCUGGCAACAACGGAAGAGUUCUAGCGAUAGGACAAGAGNAGAGUUCUAGCGAUAUGACAAGAGGAGACAACCCCCGAUCCCACCGUUGCCACAUGUAUAUUUCCCUUGUUAAAUUUAUAUGCCUGUGAUUCUUUUCGAUUCUAACACCGAAAGAAAUUUGUUAACCAUCCAUUUGAACAUCUUCUAACCCCGUCAUUUACGAGUAACCGAAUAUGUAUAUCUUCGAGAUGGUUAUCACGUGAGAGCGAGAACGCUUGUGUCGUAUCCGUAGAUUGUAUUCUCAAUCCGAGCAAUAUUCUUUUUCCAUUCGACCUAGUGGCAAACUUUUAUGAGAUGCUUUGAUGUCACCAUUAGCAUGUAAUGACUGAGCCUCAUUCAUGCUGUCUUUCCUAGUUUCGAGAAAGCCAUUCGUUCCAACCUUCCUCCGACUCGACUUUCAUGAUCUUCGUACAUCAAAGCUUAAAAAGUCUUUCCAUGUAUUUCUCGUCCGAGUGAUCAUCGAGAAACGAGAAGUCUAUGAUUCCUUCCCCGAUACUGUUCCCAAAGAAUUCUUGGUAAUUCUUUCCGAACGUGAGUCCAGUCUCGCAUCGACCUCAUCCCAGGAAUUUCCUCGUAGCCAAACCUCAGCGAACACGAUGUGUGCAAGUCAGCAAUCCGGGCUUGAUACGAUCCAUAUGAAGUAGUAGUGGCGCCCUUUGGUCGAACCAUUUUCUUGGUCCGUAGAUAAGCAAAGUAGUCAUACUCGUAAACCCUUCCAAAAGAAAAGGCAAUAAAGAAUUAGUCGACACCGGGAACACCCAUGGAAACCUGUCGAUUCUUGGGUUCCGUCGACUAUAAUCGUAGACUCAUAUAGAAGUUUCCCAUAGAACCAUCGGACCCUUAGUUACUCUACCAUGUGAAAAUGUACCCACUUGUUGGAGGUUUUACCCUGGAAAGAUAUAGUACGCCUUGGGAAGUGUGGAAAAACUUAAUCUGUGGACCUUAGACUCUUCGAGAUCCUCGUUAGGAAUCGAUUCCAUAGCCCUCUCCGAGAUAUCUUCAGGACUCAGUAGCAACCAUCUGAUAUACCGCAUAUUUAUUCGUAUGGCUUGCCGACCUGACUAAACGCUAGUAAUUCCUUUGAGGAGAUCAAAACCAAUGAAAAUCCGAACCUUCAUGUACGAAUCAAUUGAGAUCGUAGAUUGAGAGGUUAACUAUGCAUAACAAAGCCACACCCUGACAGUGAGGGUUCGCGGCAAUGUCAAGCAGAGACCCGAUUCCACUUAGGAGCUUGAAGACCCGAAGCAGUAGAUUCACUCUCAUAUCUCUUUUCACUUCGUGAUCUGUGUUCAAAUCUUCGAAUUUCGGGACGAAAUUUCCUCUAACGGGGGGAUAAUGUAACAACUCGAAAUUCAUAUCCCUAAAUGUAACCCUACUCGCGACUCAUUCCGAUCAUCUAAUCGCCGUUUCCGAUUUCGUUUCCAAUUCCGACAUUUUAUUAAGUCAUUAAUGUAUAUUUUAUUUUAUGACUUAAUAAGUGUCUUAAUACCCUUAGAACUCAUUCUAACGUCUCAUAUUAAUGAUCGGAACAUUUCUAGAAUCAACCAUAUCGGGUUACGGCAAAUUGGCCGGGUGCGACCAAAAGCCCCGUCUAACGCCGGUAUCGGGUAGAAUUCUACCGUGUCCCGAACUUGGACACUAUUUAAAGUGAUCCAAGUCUUCAUUUUGAAGCUUUUGCUCCAUUCUACAACUUUCACUCCAACCUCUCUCCUCAAACUAGAAUUAAAGGUCCAAAUCUCAAGUUUAAGGUCUCAAAUCUUCAAGGUACCUUCCUAUACUCAUUUUGCAUCAUAUUGAGCCAUCAAAUUCGAGUUUAACCAUGGAUUAGGACCAUUACCAUGAGUUUACGGCCCUAGAACCACAAUUAGACCUUGUAUAUGGCUAGAUGACUUAAUGAAAUGGAACUAGAAUGCCUCAAACCAUGAUUUAGAGCCUUAUAUAUGAGUUUACGGCCCAGGAUGGUGCUUAGGCCGUAAACCCAUAUUUAAAGGGUUUUUAAGCCCUUAAACCCUUCCAUGGCUCAAACAAGACUUAGAUACGACUUUUAGAAUAUUGGUUAUGGACCUAGAACACUUCAAACAUGAAUUUUGAGGG